rnacentral:rRNA from 1 species
UCAGGACGAACGCUGGCGGCGUGCUUAACACAUGCAAGUCGAACGAUGAUGCCCAGCUUGCUGGGUGGAUUAGUGGCGAACGGGUGAGUAACACGUGAGUAACCUGCCCCUGACUCUGGGAUAAGCGUUGGAAACGACGUCUAAUACUGGAUAUGACUGCCGGCCGCAUGGUCUGGUGGUGGAAAGAUUUUUUGGUUGGGGAUGGACUCGCGGCCUAUCAGCUUGUUGGUGAGGUAAUGGCUCACCAAGGCGACGACGGGUAGCCGGCCUGAGAGGGUGACCGGCCACACUGGGACUGAGACACGGCCCAGACUCCUACGGGAGGCAGCAGUGGGGAAUAUUGCACAAUGGGCGAAAGCCUGAUGCAGCAACGCCGCGUGAGGGAUGACGGCCUUCGGGUUGUAAACCUCUUUUAGUAGGGAAGAAGGGAGCUGCUCUGAUGACGGUACCUGCAGAAAAAGCACCGGCUAACUACGUGCCAG